rnacentral:rRNA from 1 species
UCAAAUUUGAAAUCUGGGCCUUUCAGGCUCCGAGUUGUAAUUUGUAGAAGAUGCUUUGGGUGCGGCCCCGGUCUAAGUUCCUUGGAACAGGACGUCAUAGAGGGUGAGAAUCCCGUAUGUGAUCGGUGGCCUGCGCCCGUGUAAAGCUCUUUCGACGAGUCGGGUUGUUUGGGAAUGCAGCUCUAAAUGGGUGGUAAAUUUCAUCUAAAGCUAAAUAUUGGCCAGAGACCGAUAGCGCACAAGUAGAGUGAUCGAAAGAUGAAAAGCACUUUGGAAAGAGAGUUAAACAGUACGUGAAAUUGUUGAAAGGGAAGCGCUUGCAACCAGACUUGCGCGGGGUUGAUCAUCCGGGGUUCUCCCCGGUGCACUCGGCCCCGCUCAGGCCAGCAUCGGUUUCGGUGGUUGGAUAAAGGCCUUGGGAAUGUGACUUCCUUCGGGGAGUGUUAUAGCCCUCGGUGCAAUGCAGCCUACCGGGACCGAGGACCGCGCUUCGGCUAGGAUGCUGGCGUAAUGGUUGUAAGCGACCCGUCUUGAAACACGGACCAAGGAGUCUAACAUCUAUGCGAGUGUUUGGGUGUCAAACCCAUACGCGUAAUGAAAGUGAACGGAGGUGAGAACCCUUAAGGGUGCAUCAUCGACCGAUCCUGAUGUCUUCGGAUGGAUUUGAGUAAGAGCAUAGCUGUUGGGACCCGAAAGAUGGUGAACUAUGCCUGAAUAGGGUGAAGCCAGAGGAAACUCUGGUGGAGGCUCGCAGCGGUUCUGACGUGCAAAUCGAUCGUCAAAUUUGGGCAUAGGGG